GCUUGACAGGUGACCGAAGUCUUGAAAUAAGUAUCUUUCGUUAUUUCAUAAAACUCACCCCUAAAUAUAAUUUUACUCCCACAAAAUAACAGCCACGCCUUCGUCCAUUUUGUCACUUGGCGGCUACCGAAAUGCAAAACUUCCACGUUUUAAACCCGUUUCGAGUAAUUUGGUUGUGCUCGCCGCGGCUAACGUGGCCUCCAGCAGUAAUGACGAGGAGGAACCAAUCUCCAGGAGAGGGUUUGAUGCAGAUGUAAGGACUAAAUCAUCUCCACGACAACUGAGAAAACAUCAAAACCAAACAUCCAGUGAAACUAAGACCCCUAACGAGCAGCUGAACGCCUCAAUAAACCACGAUAAGACAUCAAGCUAGUCGCCAACAACGAGCCGGGUUCAGAGGAGUGACGCAAGCCCCAUAUCAAACCUUUCCCCGCAACGACGUGGAGGUGUGAAUCUGCAGAGGUAAGAAAUGGAAAAUAAUGGCUGCCUAUACCUUCAAAGCUGCUCGAGAACAUAAACUGUGGCCGAAACGUUCAAACGCACUGACAUCUUUCUCUAUGAACGCGUUCACACGUCGUCCACUCGGACAACCACCCCGCAAAUUUUUCCGGAGUGCAAAAAUGCAACACUUCCUGCUCUGAAAGCGUUGUGCCGUGCCAGUGAACAUAACCCAGUUAACGAAAGUGCCAUUUUUCUCAAGUGAGACCACUGAAAACAAAUCGUACGCGUGCUGCCAAUGCAUGUUCGCUGUUCAUACGCGGGGCCUCUGGGAGUCAACCUAUAUAGCGCUUGUCUUCUGGCAGCAUGUACAGAUUUUUUAAAAAUGACACAAUGAUCUCUAUUUCUAACAGAAUGUUACAGAUAUAACCCUGGGCAAAAAAAAAAAAAAAAUGACAUGCGUGAUUUCUUUUACGUAACCUUAUCUUUCUCGCAUUAAAUCCCCAAAGAAUAUACAUCAAAGCAUUUAAAUUACCUCUCUUUACUCUGGUGCAAAGUAGGACACACCUUCACUCUGGAGAAACGCUGCCCAUCGCUGCAGCUAUUUGAGGAACUACAAACUCCCAAAGGUCUGAUUUCUAAAGUCAACAGUAUUCUUAUGAGUCAUCUCCACUCUAAAUGCCAACCACCACUCAAGGGGGAAAAAAAAUAAUAAAAUGAAAUAAAAAAAAAGGUAAGAUGAUGUCUUUUUCUUCUUACUAUGUCAGAAAAAAAGAAGACAGCGAUUACAGAUAAACACUGUUUACAAAAUGUUCUAAUACUGGCUGUUUGCGAUGAUGUGAUUCCAGUGUUUGAUCACAGUCCUAAGGCAAUUUCUCAAAUCUAUCUGCACUACAAAACAGUCUGAUGGAAAACGCAUUUGCUGUGCUCUGAUUACAGAUUAUUACAACCCAAUGAACAAACAUUUGUCUUGUCAACAUC